GCCCCUCAUACAGUUUUAACAAGCUCUAGUUUCACUUUUCCAGCAGUUGCUUGGCAUCUCUUGGUCACCUGUUAGUGGGAGCACCAUCCUCCUGUCACUGAUACGUAGCAUGAAUCUUCCUCAGCACCCACUCCCUGUGUCUAAUCAGCCAAGUCCUUCAGUGCUACCUUAAUAUUUUUACACAUCUCUUCUGGAGCCCUAGUUCCUCUACCUGAAAUUCAGUUUGUAUUCAUUCCUGCCUUGAAUUCUUCCUAAACUGCUACCUUACCAGUUGCUCUCCCCUCCUUGUUUGCCUUCUCCAGUACAGACCUGCCUUCAGAUUCAUCUUGAUGCAACAUCUGAGCGAGUCCC
rnacentral:lncRNA from 1 species